CUGCGGUGAAGUUAGUUUCAGGUUGGAUAUAUUUUCCUGUAAAUACAGCGGUGAAGUUAGUUUCAGGUUGGAUAUAUUUUCCUGUAAAUACAGCGGUGAAGUUAGUUUCAGGUUGGAUAUAUUUUCCUGUAAAUACGGCGGUGAAGUUAGUUUCAGGUUGGAUAUAUUUUCCUGUAAAUACGGCGGUGAAGUUAGUUUCAGGUUGGAUAUAUUUUCCUGUAAAUACGGCGGUGAAGUUAGUUUUAGGUUGGAUAUAUUUUCCUGUAAAUACGGCGGUGAAGUUAGUUUUAGGUUGGAUAUAUUUUCCUGUAAAUACGGCGGUGAAGUUAGUUGUAGGUUGGAUAUAUUUUCCUGUAAAUACGGCGGUGAAGUUAGUUUCAGGUUGGAUAUAUUUUCCUGUAAAUACGGCGGUGAAGUUAGUUUUAGGUUGGAUAUAUUUUCCUGUAAAUACGGCGGUGAAGUUAGUUUUAGGUUGGAUAUAUUUUCCUGUAAAUACGGCGGUGAAGUUAGUUUUAGGUUGGAUAUAUUUUCCUGUAAAUACGGCGGUGAAGUUAGUUUUAGGUUGGAUAUAUUUUCCUGUAAAUACAGCGGUGAAGUUAGUUUCAGGUUGGAUAUAUUUUCUUGUAAAUAUGGCGGUGAAGUUAGUUUCAGGUUGGAUAUAUUUCCCUGUAAAUACGGCGGUGAAGUUAGUUUCAGGUUGGAUAUAUUUUCCUGUAAAUACGGCGGUGAAGUUAGUUUCAGGUUGGAUAUAUUUUCCUGUAAAUACGGCGGUGAAGUUAGUUUCAGGUUGGAUAUAUUUUCCUGUAAAUACGGCGGUGAAGUUAGUUUCAGGUUGGAUAUAUUUUCCUGUAAAUACGGCGGUGAAGUUAGUUUCAGGUUGGAUAUAUUUUCCUGUAAAUACGGCGGUGAAGUUAGUUUUAGGUUGGAUAUAUUUUCCUGUAAAUACGGCGGUGAAGUUAGUUUCAGGUUGGAUAUAUUUUCCUGUAAAUACGGCGGUGAAGUUAGUUUCAGGUUGGAUAUAUUUUCCUGUAAAUACGGCGGUGAAGUUAGUUUCAGGUUGGAUAUAUUUUCCUGUAAAUACGGCGGUGAAGUUAGUUUCAGGUUGGAUAUCUGACGGACAUUCUCUGAGGAUCUACCGGUGUCUUCUCACUCUCCAUAACCAGGAAUAACAACAGCAGCGCGGUUAAAUCUACUCGACACCCUCACUGUCAACGUCGGUGUUGAAUAAGGGACCGUCAAUAAAUUACCGGUUGAUGUUCUCAGAAAAGGCUGUUUUCCUUCAAUAGCUUCACUGUCAUGUGACCAAAAGACCUAAAACUGAUUUCUAAUAAUAAUACUAAGGUUGAUCAAUAAGACAAACAUUAUUGAUCAGUUUUCAUUGAUCCCCUAAAGUUCUUU